UGGGGAAUAUUGGCACAAUGGGCGAAAGCCUGAUGCAGCGACGCCGCGUGAGGGCAUGACGGCCUUCGGGCUUGUUAAAACCUCUUUUCAGCAGGGAAGAAGCGAAAGUGACGGUACCUGCAGAAGAAGCGCCGGCUAACUACGUGCCAGCAGCCGCGGUAAUACGUAGGGCGCAAGCGUUGUCCGGAAUUAUUGGGCGUAAAGAGCUCGUAGGCGGUUAGUCGCGUCUGCUGUGAAAACUCGAGGCUCAACCUCGGGCUUGCAGUGGGUACGGGCUGACUAGAGUGCGGUAGGGGUGACUGGAAUUCCUGGUGUAGCGGUGGAAUGCGCAGAUAUCAGGAGGAACACCGAUGGCGAAGGCAGGUCACUGGGCCGCAACUGACGCUGAGGAGCGAAAGCAUGGGGAGCGAACAGGAUUAGAUACCCUGGUAGUCCAUGCCGUAAACGUUGGGCACUAGGUGUGGGGUCCAUUCCACGGAUUCCGUGCCGCAGCAAACGCAUUAAGUGCCCCGCCUGGGGAGUACGGCCGCAAGGCUAAAACUUAAAGGAAUUGACGGGGGUCAUAGCUGUUU
rnacentral:rRNA from 1 species